rnacentral:lncRNA from 1 species
CUACUUAGCAUAAUUAGCAUAAGUAUGAAGCAACUCUGCAUGAAGUAAAAGUCUCCAACUAUCAUAAUGUUCACAAUGAGAAAUAGUAAAGUUCCGUUGUUUACUAUUCUAGUCAAUGUCCAAGUAGUACACUAAGUCAUCAUCUGUCCACAUGUCAUAAUGAAUACUCAAAGUCAAAUCUGAAGAGACCCACCCGAAGGCUGUCUAUGGCCCUGAGACCCACCCGUAGGCUGUCUGGCCGGUGCCGAGCUUAAUGGCCCCUUGGUAGUCAUCAUCCCCACCCUAAGAAUGAGCCUGUCCCACGGCAAUCCACUUCGGCGCCCAAUCCUAUACGGCGAAUAUGAAUCGCGAUGGCUAUCUCCGAAGUGCCGGCUUGUAUGGAGCGACCCUCACAAGCAUGUGCGAAUGAGUACAAUGGGAAGUAGGCAAAUGAUCUGUCGCAAGUACCAAGUCCUCAUGUCUAAUAACAUGGAAUGUGUCAAGUAUCUCAACGGCCUAUCCCUAUGUCAUCAUGUCUCUAACAUGGAAUGUAGCGGAUAAGUAGUGGCCUAUCAAUAUGUCUCUAUGUUGCAGUUUCAUAGUUUACUAGUUUCAAGUGCCCCUUGAUGACACUCUUGUUCUCUAUGCCAGAGCAUGGCAACUAUGUUCCAAAGUACAUAUUCCAAGUCAUAAUCCUCAUAAGUGAUGUAUUUUCCACUUGCAAAUAAACACUUUUCCCAUAUGCAUGCAUUCUACUCAUAUAGCUCUACUAUAUAGUGAAAUUUUCAUAAUACACAAGGCAUGCAUUUUAAGUGCUCUAAAAUUCAUAUAAAUUCCAUUUAGCAUAGAAAUGAAUUUAAAAAUAUUUUACAACAAAUAGAAAGAGCAUAGGGUCCAUUUCGCCCCAUUUCCACGAAGCCAAACCCACCGUCGUCAACGAAAGCUUUCGUUUGCCACGACGAAGGCGUCCACCACACUCCUAGUACCCUAAAGGUAUGAAAACAAGUGUCAUCUAGUCGAAACGAAUGACGCUAAGUUCAAUCAUUAACCAACUCAAGCUAGGGUUGGGAAAAACUCACCUCAAGUGAAAAACCCUCUCUUAAUCUUCAAAUGGAAGGUAGGGGUCUUCCAAUCUAACCUAUAUAAAGGUUCCAAACCCAUCAAAAAGGUUUCAAAGCCCUCAAAUCAAAAAGCCCCAAAUCUAACCCUAGAAUCCCAAUCUAGGGUUUCAUCUAGUAAAACCUAGAAAAACAUAUAUCAAGUAGGGAUUACAUGCUACCAACCUCAAGAGGAGCUUCAAUCCAAGCUCAAAACCAAGUAGGGUUGAAGUUUGAUCCUCCACAAAGCUCCAACCGCAAGCUCGAAGCCACCAAGGUGAGAAAAUGGGGAAGAAGAUGAUGCUCCAAAGCCUCCAAGCAAGCUCCUUCUCCUCCUCUUCUUCUUCUUCUUCUUCUUC